GUAGGUGGCAAGCGUUGUCCGGAAUUAUUGGGCGUAAAGCGCGCGCAGGCGGUACUUUAAGUCUGAUGUGAAAGCCCACGGGCUCAACCGUGGAGGGUCAUUGGAAACUGGAGAACUUGAGUACAGAAGAGGAAAGCGGAAUUCCACGUGUAGCGGUGAAAUGCGUAGAGAUGUGGAGGAACACCAGUGGCGAAGGCGGCUUUCUGGUCUGUAACUGACGCUGAGGCGCGAAAGCGUGGGGAGCAAACAGGAUUAGAUACCCUGGUAGUCCACGCCGUAAACGAUGAGUGCUAAGUGUUAGGGGGUUUCCGCCCCUUAGUGCUGCAGCUAACGCAUUAAGCACUCCGCCUGGGGAGUACGGCCGCAAAGGCUA
rnacentral:rRNA from 1 species